GAUGGUUGUCGUUAGCAGGCUCUGUGCUCGUGCAUCGAACUGUUGACACUCCAUCUGCUUCAUUCUUCCCCCAAGUUAAGAUUUUUCCUUGUGGGUUCAUGUGGUAUCCUGUGUUGCUUACCAAUGAAAUGGAAUUUGAUAGUCUUGUUAUACGGAUUCACCUUGUGCUUUUUGGGGUAUGAGGUGGACAUGCGGUGAGCACUGUGUUCCUCACAUGCCAAAUGCAUUAGUGUUUGGUUGUUGUGGCCUAUGGUGUCUUUGCUUGUUCUCUCGGAUGCGGAAAGCUAAAUGUGGGCGUGAGGUCUCAACCUUGAAUCGUCCAAGUAUUGUAUUUUUACUCGAAUGACUGCCGCACUUGUCUUGAUCUUCCUGACCAAGGCCUCGUAAUGGGGCUUACUGGAUGAGGGUGGAUCAUGCA
rnacentral:misc_RNA from 1 species